GAUGAACGCUAGCGGCAGGCCUAAUACAUGCAAGUCGGACGGGAUUCAGGAGCUUGCUUCUGAUGAGAGUGGCGCACGGGUGCGUAACACGUAUGUAACCUACCUUUAUCAGUUUGAUAGCCUCUCGAAAGAGAGAUUAAGCCCGCAUAAAAUCACAGCACAGCAUUUUGUAAUGAUCAAAUAUUGAUAGUAUAAAGAUGGGCAUGCGGAACCUUGGCUAGAUGGCGUGGUAACGGCCCACCAUAGCGACGAUGUUUAGGGGAUCUGAGAGGAUGGCACACCACACCGGUAAUGCGACACGGACCAGAAUGCGAGGCGAGGCAGCAGUAAGGAAUAUUAGUCAAUGGGCGGAAGCCUGAACCAGCCACGCCGCGUGAAAAGAGACGGCCCUACGGGUUGUAAUCUGUUGUUAUACAGGAAUAAAACCAGAUACGUGUAUCUGGCUGAAUGUACUGUAAGAAUAAGGAUCGGCUAACUCCGUG
rnacentral:rRNA from 1 species